CACGUAGGAGACGAGCGUUAUCCGGAUUUACUGGGUGUAAAGCGCGUGUAGGCGGCGAGGAAAGUUGGAUGUGAAAACUCCUGGCUUAACUGGGAGAGGUCGUUCAAGACUGCCUGGCUAGAGUGCAGCAGAGGGGAGUGGAAUUCCCAGUGUAGCGGUAAAAUGCAUAGAUAUUCGGAAGAACACCAGUGGCGAAGGCGGCUCUCUGGGCUGCAACUGACGCUCAGACGCGAAAGCUAGGGGAGCGAACGGG
rnacentral:rRNA from 1 species